AUAUAUGUGGAUGACAUAAUCUUUGGCUGCACCAACCAGAAGUACAGUGAUGAGUUUGGGUACAUGAUGCAAGAGCAAUAUCAAAUGUCCAUGAUGGGUGAGCUGAAGUUCUUCCUUGGUCUUCAAAUUCGUCAGCAACGAAAUGGCAUCUUCAUAUCUCAAGAAAAAUACCUCAAAGAUUGUCUGAAGAAGUUUGGAAUGGAAGACUGCAAAGGCUACACGACGCCAAUGCCAGCCAAACACCAUCUUGGUCCCGACGACAAUGGUAAAGAGUUCGAUCAAAAGGUAUAUCGCUCCAUGAUUGGUUCUUUGCUUUAUUUAUGUGCAUCUAGGUCAGAUAUUAUGCUUAGUGUUUGCAUGUGUGCUCGAUUCCAAGCGGCACCAAAGGAAUUGCAUCACUUAGAUGUGAAGCGAAUUCUUCGAUAUUUGGCUUACACCCCAACACUCAGAUUAUGGUAUCCCAAGGGCUCAAAAUUUGAUUUGGUUGGAUUCUCGGAUGCUGAUUAUGCUGGUGACAAGGUGGAUCGCAAGUCUACAUCAGGCACAUGUCAUUUUCUUGGUAGAUCACUUGUCUGUUGGUCUUCAAAGAAGCAGAACUGUGUAUCACUCUCAACUGCUGAAUCUGAAUACAUUGCUGCUGGAUCCUGUUGUGCUCAGCUUCUAUGGAUGAAGCAAACUCUCAAGGAUUAUGGCAUCAAC
rnacentral:rRNA from 1 species